CCAGACUCCUACGGGAGGCAGCAGUGGGGAAUAUUGGACAAUGGACCAAGAGUCUGAUCCAGCAAUUCUGUGUGCACGAUGAAGUUUUUCGGAAUGUAAAGUGCUUUCAGUUGGGAAGAAAAAAAUGACGGUACCAACAGAAGAAGUGACGGCUAAAUACGUGCCAGCAGCCGCGGUAAUACGUAUGUCACAAGCGUUAUCCGGAUUUAUUGGGCGUAAAGCGCGUCUAGGUGGUUAUGUAAGUCUGAUGUGAAAAUGCAGGGCUCAACUCUGUAUUGCGUUGGAAACUGUGUAACUAGAGUACUGGAGAGGUAAGCGGAACUACAAGUGUAGAGGUGAAAUUCGUAGAUAUUUGUAGGGAUGCCGAUGGGGAAGCCAGCUUACUGGACAGAUACUGACGCUGAAGCGCGAAAGCGUGGGUAGCAAACAGGAUUAGAUACCCUGGUAGUCCACGCCGUAAACGAUGAUUACUAGGUGUUGGGGGUCGAACCUCAGCGCCCAAGCAAACGCGAUAAGUAAUCCGCCUGGGGAGUACGUACGCAAGUAUGAAACUCAAAGGAAUUGACGGGGGCCCGCACAAG
rnacentral:rRNA from 1 species